UGGGGAAUUUUGGACAAUGGGCGAAAGCCUGAUCCAGCAAUGCCGCGUGUGUGAAGAAGGCCUUCGGGUUGUAAAGCACUUUUGUCCGGAAAGAAAUCCUUGGCUCUAAUACAGUCGGGGGAUGACGGUACCGGAAGAAUAAGCACCGGCUAACUACGUGCCGGCAGCCGCGGUAAUACGUAGGGUGCAAGCGUUAAUCGGAAUUACUGGGCGUAAAGCGUGCGCAGGCGGUUUGCUAAGACCGAUGUGAAAUCCCCGGGCUCAACCUGGGAACUGCAUUGGUGACUGGCAGGCUAGAGUAUGGCAGAGGGGGGUAGAAUUCCACGUGUAGCAGUGAAAUGCGUAGAGAUGUGGAGGAAUACCGAUGGCGAAGGCAGCCCCCUGGGCCAAUACUGACGCUCAUGCACGAAAGCGUGGGGAGCAAACAGGAUUAGAUACCCUGGUAGUCCACGCCCUAAACGAUGUCAACUAGUUGUUGGGGAUUCAUUUCCUUAGUAACGUAGCUAACGCGUGAAGUUGACCGCCUGGGGAGUACGGUCGCAAGAUUAAAACUCAAAGGAAUUGACGGGGUCAUAGCUG
rnacentral:rRNA from 1 species